rnacentral:ncRNA from 7 species
AAACUUUCAACAACGGAUCUCUUG